rnacentral:rRNA from 1 species
AUACGGAGGGUGCAAGCGUUAAUCGGAAUUACUGGGCGUAAAGCGCACGCAGGCGGUCUGUCAAGUCGGAUGUGAAAUCCCCGGGCUCAACCUGGGAACUGCAUUCGAAACUGGCAGGCUAGAGUCUUGUAGAGGGGGGUAGAAUUCCAGGUGUAGCGGUGAAAUGCGUAGAGAUCUGGAGGAAUACCGGUGGCGAAGGCGGCCCCCGGGACAAAGACUGACGCGCAGUUGCGAAAGCGUGGGGAGCAAACAGGAUUAGAUCCCCUGGUAUUCCACGCCGUAAACGAUGUCGACUUGGAGGUUGUGCCCUUGAGGCGUGGCUUCCGGAGCUAACGCGUUAAGUCGACCGCCUGGGGAGUACGGCCGCAAGGUUAAAACUCAAAUGAAUUGACGGGG